UCCCCUUUCCACCAUCGGUACCACCUCACUUCUUUUCUCAUUUCCAUUCACAGAGGAUUUCCCAAAAAGAGAAAUCCCCAAUUUGGAGAAAUCACUAACCCGUCGCCUACUCCUUCUCACGCCGACUCCGACCUCAAUUCGCCGCCGGGUGUCCGCCCUCUGUCACGACAUAGCAGCUGUACCGAGCAGCCAUCACCGUCGCUGUUAUCGCUGUUCCGAGCAGCCAUCGUCGCUGCCCUCACAACAGAAACUGUCGCUGCUGUACAGUCGAUCCGCUCGCAGCGUCGCCGUCAUUCUCAAUUAGCCACUGCAUUGCCCGUUUGCUGUUCGGACAGCCACCGUUCCUCACCGAUUCAACCUCGAAACGACACGGAAGCCCCCCCCCGAAACAUCUCCGAACAGCCCCGAAACAACUCCGAACCGUCCCGAAAGAUAAGUUCUCAUUACAAAGUUAUCUUCUUUCAUUUUCAGUUUUCAAUUACUCUGUUAUGGGUGUUCAAUUGGUUACGUUCGAUUCAUUGUUGAUGGUGUUGCUUGAUCGGGUUACUUGUGUGGGAGGUUGAUGUAUGAAAUAUGCUAUGCUUGUGAACUGUAAUUGAUCGAUUGAAACGGAGUAUACCUCGUUGAGAACUAAACUCUGUGGUAGGAACGUUUGAACAGUGUUGGAUGAGGAAUUUGGCAGCUCCUCGGCUCCCAUGAAUUAAAUGAAGGUAGAAGGUGAAAGGUGAAAGAUCUCUUGGAAAUGGAGAGUCUCCAAGGUGUUGGCGUAGGGAAGAAGAGAAGGAAGAAGCUUGGGCUUUAAAAAAAAAAAUUCCAUGAAGAAAUUGAGCUCAAAAGAUGUCUCUUUUAAUUUAAUAGCCCAAAGCCAAAUUGUAGAAUAAAACAUUGGACUUUCUUUAUAUUUAUUUGGAUCGGCCCAAGUUCUUAUU